rnacentral:rRNA from 1 species
UACGUAGGUGACAAGCGUUGUCCGGAUUUACUGGGCGUAAAGAGCGCGCAGGCGGUCGAUCAAGUCGAGUGUGAAAGCCCCCGGCUCAACUGGGGAGGGUCAUUCGAUACUGAUCGACUCGAAGGCAGGAGAGGGUAGUGGAAUUCCCGGUGUAGUGGUGAAAUGCGUAGAUAUCGGGAGGAACACCAGUGGCGAAGGCGGCUUCCUGGCCUGUUCUUGACGCUGAGGCGGCGAAAGCUAGGGGAGCAAACGGG